rnacentral:rRNA from 1 species
CCUCUGCCGCGUGCGAAAUGUGGUAAUGCGUAAGUGUUACUAGUAUUCUCCACGCGGGACUGGCCGCGGUUAGCGGCAGGAAGUGGGAGGCAAUAACAGGUCUGUGAUGCCCUUAGAUGUUCUGGGCUGCACGCGCGCUACACUGGUGGAGGCAGCGAGUGGCUUGCGCUGGAAGGCGUGAGGAAGCUUGUGAAGCUCCAUCGUGCUGGGGAUAGACCAUUGCAAUUGUUGGUCUUCAACGAGGAAUUCCUAGUAAGGGCCGGUCAUCAGGCGGCCCUGAUUACGUCCCUGCCCUUUGUACACACCGCCCGUCGCUACUACCGAUUGAAUGGCUUGGUGAGGUUUUUGGACUGGCGGGGUGGGAGACUGCUUGGCUGGGAAAUUGGCCAAACUUGGUGAUUUAGAGGAAGUAAAAGUCG